GGGAAGCAGCUCCAUUUUUUGGGGGUCCUUUACACAGCUCAAGGUCUGGGUCCCAGGGUCCACCUUCAUGUUCCACCAAUGAGUUUGUUCACCUUCGGUGGAGUGUGUAGGGGAUGUCCUGAUAUGUGUGUAAGGAAUGCAUUGUGUGAAAUUGUGUUUGUAUGUGUAAGGGCUGCAAGGUGUGUUUCUGUGUAUGUAUGG